rnacentral:tRNA from 1 species
AUGUUGUGGCUCAGUGGUAGAGCACUUGCCUAGCAUGUACGAGGCACUGGGUUCAAUUCUCAGUACUACAUA